rnacentral:rRNA from 1 species
UACGGAGGAUGCAAGCGUUAUCCGGAAUGAUUGGGCGUAAAGCGUCCGCAGGUGGCUGUGUAAGUCUGCUGUUAAAGAGUGAGGCUCAACCUCAUAAAGGCAGUGGAAACUACAUGGCUAGAGUGCGUUCGGGGCAGAGGGAAUUCCUGGUGUAGCGGUGAAAUGCGUAGAGAUCAGGAAGAACACCGGUGGCGAAAGCGCUCUGCUAGGCCGCAACUAACACUGAGGGACGAAAGCUAGGGGAGCGAAUGGG